ACAUAGCAACGGAAGUAAGGCGUUGAGGCCGCCCAUGCUUCCGGAAGAGCGGGAUUGAGUUGUGGGAAUCCUGGUCUCCGCGUGUGUGUUUACAGCGGCGCGGGCUCCGUGCUAGGGGGUGCUGGCGCCGCGGGGCUGGUGAGUAAGGGCAGAAGCGAGAAGGAAGGAACCUCAUGGUUCUCAGGCCUGCUGGUCCCUGCCAGGCAUCUACCGUGCCCGGAGACCCAAACAUGGCAACGCUGGAAGAAAGCUUCCCCCGAGGGGGUACAAGAAAGAUCCACAAAUCAGAGAAGGCUUUCCAGCAGUCAGUUGAACAAGACAACUUAUUUGAUAUUUCUACUGAAGAGAAAUCCACCAAAAGGAAAAAGAGCCAGAAAGGGCCAGCAAAAACAAAAAAGUUGAAAAUCGAGAAGAGAGAAAGCAGCAAGUCUGUAAGAGAGAAGUUUGAAAUCCUUAGUGUUGAGUCCCUGUGUGAGGGAAUGCGGAUUUUAGGUUGUGUAAAAGAGGUAAAUGAAUUAGAACUGGUGAUCAGUCUCCCCAAUGGCCUCCGGGGAUUUGUGCAAGCAACUGAAAUCUGUGAUGCUUACACCAAAAAACUGAAUGAGCAAGUGGCACAAGAAGAACCUCUGAAGGAUCUACUCCAGUUGCCUGAGCUUUUCUCACCUGGAAUGCUGGUGAGAUGUGUGGUGAGCAGUGUGGGCAUCACAGAGAGAGGAAAAAGGAGUGUGAAGCUAUCUCUUAACCCCAAAAAUGUCAACAGAGUGCUGAGUGCUGAGGCCUUGAAGCCUGGCAUGUUGCUCACAGGCACUGUGUCCAGCUUGGAAGACCAUGGCUACCUAGUGGACAUUGGUGUUGAGGGGACCAGAGCAUUUUUGCCACUGCCAAAAGCCCAGGAGUACAUCCGACAGAAGAACAAAGGUGCUAAAUUGAAGGUGGGUCAGUACCUGAACUGUGUCAUUGAAGAGGUGAAAGGCAAUGGAGGAGUUGUUAGUCUGUCUGUUGGUCAUGCAGAGGUUUCUACUGCCAUUGCUACUGAGGAGCAAAACUGGACCCUUAAUAACUUGCUACCAGGACUGGUAGUCAAAGCCCAGGUACAGAAGGUGACUCCACAUGGCCUUAGGCUAAAUUUCCUCACAUUCUUCACAGGCCUAGUUGACUUUAUGCAUCUGGAUCCCAAGAAGGCUGGAACAUAUUUCUCAAACCAAGCAGUCAGGGCCUGCAUCCUCUGUGUCCAUCCUCGGACCAGAGUUGUGCGCCUGAGCUUGCGCCCUAUCUUCCUACAACCUGGGCGCCCACUUACCCGGCUGUCUUGCCAGCACCUUGGAGCUGUGCUAGAUGACGUUCCUGUCCAGGGCUUUUUCAACAAGGCUGGGGCCAUUUUCAGACUGAAGGAUGGGAUUCUGGCCUAUGCACGGCUCAGCCAUCUCUCUGAUUCUAAGAACACCUUCAAACCUGAGAGCUUCAAGCCAGGGAACACUCAUAAGUGUAGAAUUAUUGACUACAGCCAAAUGGAUGAACUGGCCUUACUCUCUCUGCGGACGUCUAUUAUUGAAGCUCAGUACCUUAGCUAUCAUGACAUCAAACCUGGGGCAGUGGUAAAGGGCACAGUACUAACUAUAAAGCCAUAUGGGAUGCUGUUGAAGGUGGGCCAGCAUAUAAGGGGCCUGGUACCUGCCAUGCACCUGGCUGACAUCCUGAUUAAGAAUCCAGAAAAGAAGUACCACGCUGGGGACGAGGUCAAGUGCCGGGUAUUGCUUUGUGACUCCGAAGACAAGAAGCUAAUGAUGACUCUGAAGAAAACCCUGGUUGAGUCCAAACUACCUGCCAUUACCUGCUAUGCUGAUGCCAAGCCUGGUCUGCAGACACAUGGCUUCAUCAUCAGGGUGAAGGACUAUGGCUGCAUUGUCAAGUUCUACAAUGAUGUGCAGGGACUGGUGCCCAAGCACGAGCUCAGUGCUGAGUAUAUCCCUGACCCAGAGAGAGUCUUUUACACUGGCCAGGUGGUGAAGGUUGUGGUGCUGAACUGUGAGCCAUCCAAAGAGAGGAUGCUCUUAUCCUUCAAGCUGUUGAGUGAUCCAGAACUACAGAAAGAGCCUGCAGGACACAGUCAGAAGAAAGGAAGAGUCAUUAACGUUGGGCAGUUGGUGGAUGUGAAGGUUUUAGAGAAGACCAAAGAUGGGCUGGAGGUGACUAUCCUGCCCUACAACAUCCCUGCGUUCCUCCCGACGCCUCAUCUGUCAGACCACGUUGCCAACGGCCCGCUGUUAUAUCACUGGCUCCAGGCAGGCGACACCCUUCAUCGAGUCCUGUGUCUGAGCCGGAGCGAAGGACAUAUUCUUCUUUGCAGGAAGCCAGCUUUGGUCUCCACCGUAGAAGGUGGCCAGGACCCCAAGAACUUCUCAGAAAUCCAUCCUGGAAUGCUGCUUAUUGGUUUUGUGAAGAGCAUCAAGGACUAUGGUGUAUUCAUCCAGUUCCCCUCGGGUCUCAGUGGACUGGCCCCCAAAGCCAUCAUGAGUGACAAGUUUGUGACCUCCACAAGUGACCACUUUGUUGAGGGGCAGACAGUAGUUGCAAAGGUGACCAACGUGGAUGAGGAGAAGCAGCGGAUGCUGCUGUCAUUGCGCCUGUCGGACUGCGCUCUGGGGGACUUAGCCGCCACCAGUCUCCUCCUCCUGAGCCAGUGCUUGGAGGAGUUGCAGGGCGUGCGCAGCCUCAUGCGCAGCCGAGACUCUGUGUUGAUCCAGACGCUGGCUGAGAUGACUGCAGGAAUGGUCCUUGACCUAGUGGUGCAGGAGGUGUUGGAAGAUGGCUCUGUAUUGUUCAGCGGGGGCCCAGUGCCUGGCUUGGUCCUGAGAGCCAGCAAAUAUCAUCGGGCAGGGCAGGAGGUGGAAUCUGGGCAGAAAAAGAAGGCUGUGAUCUUAAAUGUUGAUAUGUUGACGUUGGAAGUCCAUGUUUCCCUUCACCAGGACUUGGUGAAUAGAAAAGCUAAAAAGCUGAAGAAAGAUAGCGAACACCAGGCGAUUGUGCAGCACUUGGAGGAGUCCUUCGCCGUUGCCUCCUUGGUAGAGACUGGCCACCUGGCAGCUUUCUCCCUGACCUCUCACCUCAACGACACCUUCCGCUUUGACUCAGAGAAGUUGCACAUCGGACAGGGUGUUUCCCUUACCCUCAAGACCACAGAACCAGGAGUGACUGGUCUUCUUUUGGCUGUUGAGGGGCCAGCUGCUAAGAGGACCAUGAGACAGACCCGGAAGGACUCUGAGACAGUUGACGAGGAUGAGGAAGUAGAUCCAGCUCUGGCUGUAGGGACUGUAAAGAAGCAUACCCUGUCUAUCGGGGACAUGGUCACAGGGACUGUGAAGUCCAUUAAGCCCACCCAUGUGGUUGUGACUCUGGAAGAUGGUGUCAUUGGCUGCAUCCAUGCCUCCCAUAUUCUAGAUGAUGUUCCAGAGGGCAUCUCUCCUACAACCAAGCUGAAAGUUGGAAAGACAGUCACUGCCCGAGUGAUUGGUGGGCGAGACAUGAAGACAUACAAGUUUCUUCCAAUAAGUCACCCCAGAUUUCUUCGGACCAUCCCGGAGCUGAGUGUUCGGCCAAGUGAGCUGGAGGAUGGCCACACUGCUCUUAACUCUCACUCUGUUAGCCGUAUGGAAAAGAUUAAACAGUACCAGGCCGGUCAGACCGUCACUUGCUUCUUAAAGAAGUACAACGUGGUGAAGAAAUGGCUUGAGGUGGAGCUUGCCCCAGACAUCCGGGGGCGAAUUCCCUUGUUGCUCAUGUCUCUUAGCUUCAAGGUUCUGAAACAUCCAGAUAAGAAGUUCCAGAUUGGCCAGGCCCUGAGGGCCACCGUGGUUGGCCCAGAUUCCUCCAAGGCCUUCUUAUGUCUCUCACUUAUAGGUCCUCACAAGCUUGAGAAAGGGGAGGUGGCCAUGGGCCGAGUAGCCAAGGUGACUCCCAAUGAAGGGCUGACUGUCUCCUUCCCCUUUGGGAAGAUAGGAAGAGUCAGUAUAUUUCAUGUGAAUGACUCCUACUCUGAGACACCCCUGGAAGACUUCAUCCCCCAGAAGGUUGUCAGAUGUUACGUCUUAUCCACCGAAGAUGAGGUAUUAACUUUGUCACUGCGAUCAUCCAGAACAAACCCGGAGACAAAAAGCAAAAUAGAAGAUCCGGAGAUUAACUCCAUCCGGGACAUUAAGAAAGGGCAUCUCUUGAGGGGCUACGUGAGGUCCGUGCAGCCAGACGGCGUGCUCGUCGGCCUUGGCCCCUCGGUUGUGGGUUUGGCCCAAUACCCACAUGUUUCCCAGUGCAGCCCGUCCAAGAAAACCCUUUAUAACAAAUACCUGCCCGAAGGGAAGUUGCUCACAGCCAAGAUUCUAAGCGUGAACCACCAGAAGAACCUGGUAGAGCUGUCGUUCCUCCCCAGCGACACUGGAAAGCCGGAUGUGUUAUCUGCUUCCAUGGAACUGCCACUUUCAAAGCAAGAGGAGAGGAAAAUAGAGGCUAAGGAGAGAGACCAAAAAGGAGAAGAGAAGAAUCAGAAAAGGAAAGAGAAGAAGAACCAAAAGGGGCAGGCGGCGGCGGCGCGGCUGCCCAGCAAGGAGAAGACGCAGGGCAAGCGGGAGCUGCAGACACCUGUAAGUGAGCAGGAAAGAGUGAAUAAGAAGGCAAAGAAAGCUGGUCCGUCAGAGGAGGAUGACAGUGGCAUGGAAGUGUAUUAUCGGGAAGGAGAAGAGGCGAUGGAAGAGAUGGAUAUGCUACCCAAGGAGAAGCCACCCAAGCCAGCAGAAGCUCCCCGGCUGCAGCUGCCUUCGGGCUUUGCUUGGAACGUGGGCCUAGACUCUCUGACGCCAGCCUUGCCACCUCGAGGAGAGAGCUCAGACAGUGAGGAGGAUGAGAAGCCACACCAAGCCACGCAGAAAAAGAAAAGCAAGAAGGAAAGGGAUUUGGAGAAGCAAAAGGCAGAGAAAGAGCUCUCCCGCGUUGAGGAAGCGCUGAUGGAUCCCAGGCGACAGCCGGAGUCAGCGGAUGACUUUGACCGACUGGUGCUGAGCUCCCCCAACAGCUCCAUCCUGUGGCUGCAGUACAUGGCUUUCCACCUGCAGGCCACGGAGAUCGAGAAGGCCCGUGCCGUGGCUGAGAGAGCCCUUAAGACCAUCUCCUUCAGAGAAGAGCAGGAGAAGCUGAAUGUGUGGGUGGCGCUGCUGAACCUGGAAAACAUGUACGGCUCUCAGGAGUCCCUGAACAAGGUCUUUGAGCGGGCCGUGCAGUACAACGAGCCUCUCAAGGUCUAUCUACACCUGGCUGACAUCUAUACCAAGUCAGAGAAGCUACAGUCUGGGAUUCCCCUUGCUAUGGGCGCAGGCAUAGUGGGGAAACGCCCCAUCGUUUCGUGCCUCCCUCUCUGCUCCUCUCGGGUCUUUGGAAUGAGCCCUACGCAGCGAUUUGGCGUCUGUGAGCCCAAGUCUAGCUUCUCGAAGCCGGUGAACUCUACAACCGGAUGCUGAAGCGUUUCCGGCAGGAGAAAGCUGUGUGGAUCAAAUAUGGCGCCUUUCUCCUGCGGAGGAGCCAGGCCGGGGCCAGUCACCGUGUGCUGCAGCGAGCCCUCGAGUGCCUGCCUAGCAAGGAGCAUGUGGAUGUGAUUACCAAGUUUGCCCAGCUUGAGUUCCAGCUGGGGGAUGCAGAGCGGGCCAAAGCCAUUUUUGAGAACACGCUGAGCACCUACCCAAAACGCACAGAUGUCUGGUCGGUCUACAUCGACAUGACCAUCAAGCACGGCAGCCAGAAGGAAGUCCGGGACAUCUUUGAGCGGGUCAUUCAUCUGAGCCUGGCCCCCAAGAGAAUGAAGUUCUUCUUCAAGCGCUACCUGGACUAUGAGAAGCAGCACGGCACAGAGAAGGACGUGCAGGCAGUCAAGGCCAAGGCCCUGGAGUACGUGGAGGCCAAGAGCUCAGUACUGGAGGAAUAGGGGCAGGCGGGCUCCUCCAGGCACCGUCAGCAGUGGGCACCCCCACCUCAGCGCCUGGACACUCUGAAAUCUAUUGCCUAAGGACUCUAUUUAAGUGCUGCUUUUUCUGUAUCAUCCCUGAGGAAUGCUGUCAGGAUGAAAAAGAAUUCGAGAUUGUUUCUAA